AGAUAGGUGAAAUCAUGGUCCUAGUACAUAGUCUACGGUUGACUAGUACGAACCGUAGAAAGACGGUCCGUAGGUUGAGUCGAUAAUUAUUUUUGAAAGGCUUUUGGGGUUUUUUUCCUAAUUGUUUUAAAUCAAACUAUGUCAUUUUACCUUCUAUCCUAAGCUCUAGUUUUUCAAUUCGCAAUUUUAUCAUUUUUUGUUCGUUCUCAUUUUAAAUUUUCCAAAACAACUCCCCAAAUUCUCUCAAGACUAAUGAAGAAUAAAAAUAACUAGGGUUCCAUUGAGAUCUUCAAUUCUCUAUCAUUUUUGGCUUAAAGGAUCAAGGUAUGUGGUUUUAAACCAUGGAGCCCUUUCCUCCAUGGAUCCAAUGAUUAUGGGCUUCUUGGGAUCCUAUAUGCCAGUUACACCUAAGGUCUACUUUGGAUCGUGAAAAAUUUUAACGCACCUUGAUUAAUUCCACAAGAUAUGUGCCACUUCUCACCAACAACAUGUAGCAAAUAACUUUGUCCAACAAAAUUAGGACAAUAAGAAGAUUCACCUAGUAGUUUUGUUUUCAUUGAGAUUUAAACUGAGACUUUGGUUCUCAACCAUUUCAUUGACCACUAGGACAUACCCUUGGGUGACUUAAAUUGUUGUUGCUAGUUCAAUUUUCGUGCAAUCAACGUUUAAAUACCUUAAAAUUA